rnacentral:rRNA from 1 species
AACGAACGCUGGCGGCAUGCCUAACACAUGCAAGUCGAACGAGAUCUUCGGGUCUAGUGGCGCACGGGUGCGUAACGCGUGGGAAUCUGCCCUUUGGUUCGGAAUAACAGUUGGAAACGACUGCUAAUACCGGAUGAUGACGAAAGUCCAAAGAUUUAUCGCCAGAGGAUGAGCCCGCGUAGGAUUAGCUAGUUGGUGUGGUAAAGGCGCACCAAGGCGACGAUCCUUAGCUGGUCUGAGAGGAUGAUCAGCCACACUGGGACUGAGACACGGCCCAGACUCCUACGGGAGGCAGCAGUGGGGAAUAUUGGACAAUGGGCGAAAGCCUGAUCCAGCAAUGCCGCGUGAGUGAUGAAGGCCUUAGGGUUGUAAAGCUCUUUUACCCGGGAUGAUAAUGAUAGUACCGGGAGAGUAAGCUCCGGCUAACUCCGUGCCAGCCGCCGCCGUAAAAC